UACGGAGGGUGCAAGCGUUAUCCGGAUUCACUGGGUUUAAAGGGUGCGUAGGUGGGCAAGUAAGUCAGUGGUGAAAUCUCCGGGCUUAACCCGGAAACUGCCAUUGAUACUAUUUGUCUUGAAUACUGUGGAGGUCAGCGGAAUAUGUCAUGUAGCGGUGAAAUGCUUAGAUAUGACAUAGAACACCGAUUGCGAAGGCAGCUGGCUACACAAAUAUUGACACUGAGGCACGAAAGCGUGGGGAUCAAACAGG
rnacentral:rRNA from 1 species